GACGGUAGGGCGCGAGCGUUGUCCGGAUUUAUUGGGCGUAAAGAGCUCGUAGGCGGCUUGUCACGUCGACUGUGAAAAUCCGGGGCUCAACCCCGGACUGUAGUGGGUACGGGCAGACUAGAGUGUGGUAGGGGAGACUGGAAUUCCUGGUGUAGCGGUGGAAUGCGCAGAUAUCAGGAGGAACACCGAUGGCGAAGGCAGGUCUCUGGGCCACUACUGACGCUGAGAAGCGAAAGCAUGGGGAGCGAACAGG
rnacentral:rRNA from 1 species